CCCAAAUUUUUGAGGAACUAUAAAUUUAAAGGCUUCCAUAAUCUGUCCGUCUAAAAUUCUGCUCAACAGCAAAUGGCCGUGGUUAUGGAGUUUAUCGCCUGUAUUCUAAAAGCUCACUCACCCUCUCAAUGAGUGGACUCUCAUUCUGAAUGAGUGCAACUCACCACUCAAUGAGUAUCCACUCACAGUCACAUAGAAUAAUUAUCGAACUAUUCAAAGACACAUUGGACCAUUCUCCAAUUAACCAAAAUUUUGAUCUCAACAAGUCUAGACAAAAUUCCAUCAUAGCAUCAAAG